rnacentral:rRNA from 1 species
CGUGUAGGCGGCUCAUCAAGUCUGGUGUGAAACGCAAGGCUUAGCCUUGUGGGUGCACUGGAAACUGGUGGGCUGGAGUUCUUGAGGGGAGCUGGAAUUCCAGGUGUAGGGGUGAAAUCUGUAGAUAUCUGGAAGAACACCGGUGGCGAAGGCGAGCUUCUAUCAGAGGACUGACGCUGAGGCGCGAAAGCGUGGGGAGCAAACAGGAUUUAGAUACCCUGGUAGUCCACGCUGUAAACGAUGUGCACUAGGCGUGGGGCCCGUACGGGUUCUGUGCCGUAGUUAACGUGAUAAGUGCACCGCCUGGGGAGUAUGCUCGCAAGGGUGAA